GCCGGGCAUGGUGGCGGGCGCCUGUAAUCCCAGCUACUCGGGAGGCUGAGGCGGGAGAAUCGCUUGAACCCAGGAGGCAGAGGUUGCAGUGAGCCGAGAUCACGCCACUGCACUCCAGCCUGGGAGACAGAGCGAGACUCCGUCUCAA
rnacentral:SRP_RNA from 1 species